rnacentral:rRNA from 1 species
CCUACGGGAGGCAGCAGUGAGGAAUAUUGGUCAAUGGACGCAAGUCUGAACCAGCCAUGCCGCGUGCAGGAAGACGGCUCUAUGAGUUGUAAACUGCUUUUGUACGAGGGUAAAUCCCGAUACGUGUAUCGGGUUGAAAGUAUCGUACGAAUAAGGAUCGGCUAACUCCGUGCCAGCAGCCGCGGUAAUACGGAGGAUUCAAGCGUUAUCCGGAUUUAUUGGGUUUAAAGGGUGCGUAGGCGGUUCGAUAAGUUAGAGGUGAAAGCCCGGGGCUCAACUCCGGCACUGCCUCUGAUACUGUCGGGCUAGAGUGUAGUUGCGGUAGGCGGAAUGUAUGGUGUAGCGGUGAAAUGCAUAGAGAUCAUGCAGAACACCGAUUGCGAAGGCAGCUUACCAAACUACGACUGACGUUGAGGCACGAAAGCGUGGGGAGCAAACAGGAUUAGAUACCCUAGUAGUC